UACCGUCCCUGAGAGUUCAAUGAGUCUCUGGGAGACACUCCGGCGAAGCGUCUCCCAGAGACUCAUCGAACUUUCAGGAAUAGUAUC
rnacentral:pre_miRNA from 1 species